UGGCAGGGAAGUUUUCGCCUUGGUGGUGCUGGACAUGCGUGGAGGGCAGAUUCAUUAAGUUUGGGUUGAUUUCUUCCUUUGCUGUUCCAUCUGGAGGAGGCGUUGGAGAGGAGGCUGUGUAGGUGACUGAAACUUUACCAAAAACACGCAUAUGAUAUAUUGCAUUACUAUUUCUUGCAUUCUUCUUAGCCAGUUCAAGCUUUUGUUAAUAUAGUAUUCUUAUUUACUCAUGAUGCUUUUUCGGUGGUUUUAAGUGGGAAUUGCACAUGCUCAUGGUUUUGAUUGAUUUGGGGAGCAACAUCUUCAACAAAAGAAAUGAUGUGAUUAGUUCUGUUGACGAACAUGUUGUUUUGCGUUACUAUAAACUAAAUGGUCAUAUGUGGAUGUCUCAAUUACAAUUGUUACUUCUUGUCAUGAUGCUACUGCUACUAAAUUAGGAUUGGUAUGGCUUGAGUUAUUUGCUUAGUAAUAGCCACAAAAACAUAUGGUCAACUAGAAUUAUUUGCUUAGCAUAGUUUAGUUCUUCAUUAGGGUCAUUCUGCAUGCUUUUGAUCAGGGCACAAAACUGUUUAGUAAUGGGACAUGACAUAAUACAAUGAAUGACACAGAAAGUAUUUAUGCAAAAUUGCUAUGCCUCUGUUUCUCGUUGUUUCUAGAUGGAAUUGUUUCAUGGUUUGCAGACCCUCAUAAAAUAUUUAUUUAUGAUUUAUGAAAUGAGGUCUAUCUUUUACUAUUUGUAAAUUCAGAUGCAAUUAGUUAUUAUCCUAUUACACUAAAAGUAUUUUGUUCUAAUUCUAAUGGUUGGAGCAGAGUUGGUAGAUUUUAAUCAUAAUAUAUCUUGUCGGAUCCCUUAUUUUCUAUUUGGCAUUCACUAACAGCUUUACGAGCUGUUUUUUUGUUCAACAUCCUUCUUCAAAACAGUUUAAUGGCUUCAUUGCUAGAGCUUCUUUUUUAUCCUCUCACAAAGGAAUCAGGAUCACAAAUGAAGAUGAGAGAGGUGAAGCUGAAAAAUGUAGCUUUGCAUAGCUCUCACUUAUUCCCCUCUGUCAUGUAUGAAGCUAUUGGUAAAGUUGUAUUGUCAAUUUUUUUUCCAAAACUUAUCAGCUUUACUGAGAAAGCUGCUCAUGACGAAGCUUAAUUGUGUCAAAUGAGGCUUUAUUUGUCCAAUAUCUUAGCUACUGUUUGGUAAUUUAGAUCA